UUCCGGGUGGGCCUUCCCUGCGGUACUCUGGGAACCCAGGUCCAACUUCCCCUGCUCAAGAAGCGGGUGGAUUUGUCCCAGGCAAGCGAAGGGUGGCAAUAUUACUUUUUAGGUUGUUCAAAGACCUCUGGUCGCCGGAUGGCCGCGUGGCCUAAUGGAUAAGGCGUCUGACUUCGGAUCAGAAGAUUGCAGGUUCGAGUCCUGCCGCGGUCGUGGAAAGUUGGAAUACUGUUUUUAGUUCAUCCUCCGUUAGGAAGGCAAAGGAACGUUGUCACCAAUUACCACCCCACGGGAAGUCUGGGAACCCCUCGAUCUGCGCAACAUGCGGCUCCCACAUACCACGCCCAGCGAGUCCUGUGAAUCAAGAAACUCGCCUACGUGUCCCCGGCGGGCGCGCACGUCUCUUGAAUGUACCAGCCGCUCGUACCGCCGCGCGCGUUGGAGCCCAGCGGGGAGAGAAGCGCGCCCAGGCGGAGAUCCCGAUUUCAAAGCAACUGGAGCUGGGAGAGGAGAUACCAAGGCAACAGUCCCGUCCGCGGUUCGCCAGCCCCUCUGCCGCCCUUGGGGACACAGAGAGGCUCCGGACGAGGCUUGUGAAGACAGCACAGCAGCUCUGAGGUCGAUCCUUCCUCUGAGGUCGAUCCUUCCAUUCAUUGCCCCCUUCUUUAAGCAUGAAAUACUCUUCACGCACUGUCCUAGGUGUAUUUAAUCCACACACAAAUGCGAGGUUUGGGGUUUUUUUCUUUUGGCAAAAAAAAUCCUAUCAACUGCAGAUCACUAUUUUAUAAUCUGUUGCUUUUUUUCCCACUUAGCCUUGUACUGUUGACAUUUUUACAAAAUGCCAGGGAGAGACUGAGCUUAAAUCAGGGAGUCCUUGAGUGGGAAAAACGAUUGCAUUAUUUCUUCUAAUCUCCUACUGAAAUUUAGCACUUCCUUCAAUUAUGAAAUUAGGCAGCCAGCCAGUGGUAUUAGCAGUACCUCAACCGAUUAUCCCCGAUAGAUCUCACUUGCUAGACCCCACUUGCUAGAUCUCAUUGUUUAAUGAGUUAACAAAAAAAUGCAUGUUAUAUUACC